CUACGGGUGGCUGCAGUGGGGAAUAUUGCACAAUGGGGGAAACCCUGAUGCAGCAACGCCGCGUGGAGGAUGACACAUUUCGGUGCGUAAACUCCUUUUAUAGGUCAAGAUAAUGACGGUAGCCUAUGAAUAAGCGCCGGCUAACUCCGUGCCAGCAGCCGCGGUAAUACGGAGGGCGCAAGCGUUACUCGGAAUCACUGGGCGUAAAGAGCAUGUAGGCGGAUUGUUAAGUUGGAAGUGAAAUCCUAUGGCUUAACCAUAGAACUGCUUCCAAAACUGAUAAUCUAGAGUAUGGGAGAGGUGGAUGGAAUUUCUGGUGUAGGGGUAAAAUCCGUAGAGAUCAGAAGGAAUACCGAUUGCGAAGGCGAUCUACUGGAACAUUACUGACGCUCAGAUGCGAAAGCGUGGGGAGCAAACAGGAUUAGAUACCCUGGUAGUC
rnacentral:rRNA from 1 species